AUCGAUGAAGAACGCAGCGAAAUGCGAUAAGUAAUGUGAAUUGCAGAAUUCAGUGAAUCAUCGAAUCUUUGAACGCACAUUGCGCCCUUUAGUAUUCUAGAGGGCAUGCCUAUUCGAGCGUCAUUAUUAACCCUCAAGCUUGGCUUGUUAUUGAGUGCUUUGAUGACGGGUUUUUUCUCCCAUCACGCUUGAAAGAUAAUGGCGGUGUGAAAAUGACACCAGGUGCAGCGAGCUUUUUUGCAUACACUUAUGGUCUUGUCUUUUCAUCACUUUGCUUUAAAAAACAUUUUUUUAAAGGUUGACCUCGGAUUAGGUAGGAUUACCCGCUGAACUUAAGCAUAUCAAUAAGCGGAGGAAAAGAAACCAACAGGGAUUGCCUUAGUAACGGCGAGUGAAGCGGCAAUAGCUCAAAUUUGAAAUCUGGCUCUUUCAGAGUCCGAGUUGUAAUUUGUAGAGGAUGUUUCGGGCAAGGUUGUGGUUUAAAUUCCUUGGAACAGGAUGUCAUAGAGGGUGAGAAUCCCGUCUUGAGCCACGUACUGCGUCCAUGUGAAACUCCUUCGACGAGUCGAGUUGUUUGGGAAUGCAGCUCAAAAUGGGAGGUAAAUUUCUUCUAAAGCUAAAUAUUGGCCAGAGACCGAUAGCGCACAAGUAGAGUGAUCGAAAGAUGAAAAGCACUUUGAAAAGAGAGUUAAACAGUAUGUGAAAUUGUUGAAAGGGAAGCUCUAGCAACCAGACUUGUAUUAAUUAGUUCUACUAUGGUUUUCCAUGGCUUAUUCUAGUUGAUCAGGCCAGCAUCAGUUUUGGUGGUUAGUUAAAGGCCUUGGGAAUGUAUCUACCCUCCGGGGUCGACUUAUAGCCCUUGGUGUCAUGUAACCUACCGAGACUGAGGAACGCGCUUUAUGCUCGGAUGCUGGCGUAAUGGUUGUUAGCGACCCGUCUU
rnacentral:rRNA from 1 species